GACGAACGCUGGCGGCGUGCUUAACACAUGCAAGUCGAACGGAAAGGCCCUGCUUUUGUGGGGUGCUCGAGUGGCGAACGGGUGAGUAACACGUGAGUAACCUGCCCUUGACUUUGGGAUAACUUCAGGAAACUGGGGCUAAUACCGGAUAGGAGCUCCUGCUGCAUGGUGGGGGUUGGAAAGUUUCGGCGGUUGGGGAUGGACUCGCGGCUUAUCAGCUUGUUGGUGGGGUAGUGGCUUACCAAGGCUUUGACGGGUAGCCGGGCUGAGAGGGUGACCGGCCACAUUGGGACUGAGAUACGGCCCAGACUCCUACGGGAGGCAGCAGUGGGGAAUAUUGCACAAUGGGCGGAAGCCUGAUGCAGCAACGCCGCGUGCGGGAUGAUGGCCUUCGGGUUGUAAACCGCUUUCGCCUGUGACGAAGCGUGAGUGACGGUAAUGGGUAAAGAAGCACCGGCUAACUACGUG
rnacentral:rRNA from 1 species